UUUUUUUUUUUUUAAUUAUCACAGUGUAGGGCCUUUCCAAAUACCAAAGUCAUUCUAAUAUAAGUAAUGAAGUUAAAUUAACUCUUUAUUAUUCGGCAGAUCCUUAGGAGACCCAAGAGAAAUUAUUUAUAUUUGAUUGGGGAGAUGAGAAUUAUAUAGGUAGAAUGUGGGGCAGAAGGAGCCUAGAAAGACUUUCCUGUAUCCCUUAAAACAGGGGACUUCAUUAUAUCAUGGACAUUUUGGGCAGCUUAGUAAAGUCUAUGAACCUCCUAUCCAAAUAAUGUUUUUUGAUGUAAAAAAUAAAAUAAUGUGGGUUACGAAGGAAACCAAUAAUUUUAUAAUACAGUUUAUGAAAACAUUAAACAAAAGCAGUUCACCUUAAACAGUUGAGUUAUAUACACAUAAGAAAAAUAUUCUCCAAUUCCUUAUAAGUCAUUUUCCACUUGGAUGUUUCUUUUUAAUCUUCAAUUUAACAGUUGCUAAACUGAACAGUUUCUUCAUCUCUACCCCUCCCUCCCUUCCUAUUUGAAAUCUUUUCUUCUCAUUCCUAGUCAGGAAAUCAAAUCUAUUGAUUUGGAUUAUCACCUUCAAACUGUUUCCAUUACUAGAGUCUUUUCCCCGCCUAAAUUCCUACUUUCUUGUUGUGUAGAUGUUUCAGACUGACUCUGUGAUCCUAUUUGGGGUUUUCUUGGCAACUUACUCUAGUGCUUUGCCAUUUCCUUCUCUAGCUUAUUUCUACUUUUACAAACCUAGAGCAGACUCAUAGUCUAACGUCCUGCCAACAUUGCUGCUUCCUGGCUACCUUCAUUGACUUAGUCCAUCCAAGUGUACCUGUUCUCUAAUCUAAUCUGUAUAUUUCUGCCAGAUUAAUCUAAAAUGUUUUCAUGAACACCAGUGACUCUCCACUUCCUCAGGGAUUAUACUCAAUCUAUAUUAUUAUUCUCUGAUUUUGAAACUUUUCUUUUUAUUAUUCCUCAUUUCUAGUGGAUUCUGUAUGGAUUAUUGCCUGCAAACUCUUUCCUCUAGAUGUGACAGAAAUCCAUCUCAAACAUUUCUUUCACAGACUUUGGUAUAAACAUGGAAAGUCCCUCUCUGUUCUUUCAAUGAUAUGACUCUUUCCUACAUUUAAUUUACAGAAGGGCCCCAGGGAAUUCACUAUAUGUUUUGUGUGGGUAUUAUCAUCUCAUAGAACCACCAAUGUCAAAGCUUGAAGGACCCAGAAACUAUAAACUAUGAAUCCAAGUUCUUGUCUUACAAAAGAGGAAAUUGAGACUUAUAGAAGUGGAGGAAUUAUUCACACAAAAUACAAAGGGCAGAGCUGAGACUAACAUUUGGGUCUCUUAACUUUGUCCUUUAUUCUUGUCCAAAUGCAUCAUACUAUCUUUCUUUACCUAGAAGAGAUGUGUUUUUUUUUUUCUGGGUCUUUCAUAGUGCCUAUAGUAUUAUUAAACCCAAAGAGAGUCCUCAGUGCAGAACUUGUUGAUCAAUGAUAAGCUUAUUGUUUGUCUUUAAUCUAAGAUUAAAAUUCCUGUUCUAUAUUCAAAUUUUCCUAUCUUUGGAUAUCUUCUUUGUUUCCAUUAUCCUCUCUUAUAUAAUGUAUCAACUUAACAUCUUACAUACAUAUUAUAUCUUAUAAAUAUCUAUGUAUUUGUAUUCAUCUAGUAACUUUCACCUCACCCCAUUUCAUGUAGAAUGUAAAUGCUUUUUGAGGGCAGGAACUAUGUCAUUAAAAAAAUUACAAAGCUAUUUCCAGUAACCUAGGGCUAAGGUAUGGUGCUUUGCACAUAAUAGUUGUAACACUGAAUGAAUAAACUAAGUGCUAGAUGAGGAGAUUUAUACCUUAACGAUGUAUGUAAUAAAGCCAUUUUAAUUAAGUUCAUAGAUGAGAGACAUCAUUGUAGACUGGAUUAAUCAGAGAAGGAUGGUCAAGGUUACUUUUGAACUUGGGAGGUCCAGUUGGGCUGUAGCAUGGGAUAGAGUGGAUUAUAUAACAUAAAAACCAGGAAGGUAGAUUGGAGUUAGACUAUAGGAAACCUUUAAAGCUAAGUUUUUAUUUAAUUGGCAUUUGGGAGCAAAGGAAGGCUUUUGAGUGAGAGAAUAACAACAUGAAUGAGGAGCAUAAGAGUGUUAAGAAGGAACUGUGGGAGACAAUGAUGAUCUAGAGUAAGAUUAUCCAAUAGAUAAAGAGUUCUGAAGGCAAGAUAGGGAAAUCUGCAUUUAACAGUAUAGAUCUCUCUGCCCCACCUUCAUUUUUCUUCUUCUUCUUAUUCUAUAACCAAGAAGACAGAGGCUGGUAAGAUAUAGUGGCUGGAGAUGUGGUUCAAGAGUCAUUAAGAUCUGGGCUUUAUCGUCCUCCAUGACUCCCAGACAGCUUUUCAAGACUAUAUAAUCUUGGCAGAGGAGAUCUCAAUUUGCUUUAUAGAAAUUAAUUUCCUUAACUAGGAGUUCCCUACACCAAUAAAAUAGCAGGACCUUUCUUAAAACCAAACCAAAACAAAACAUAACCCCCCAACAACAACCCAGAAAAAACCUCCAACUUUCUAGUUCUUACAGUUUUAGAAAGGUUCCUCCUUAAAAAUGACCUCAGAGGUUCACUUGUCCAGUUUGUAAUUAGGCAUUCCUACCUAUACCUUAAACCUUCUCCCAACAAAUGAUUUCUAGUCUUGAAAGCUAGACUCCUCAGCAAAGAAAGGACAACUCUUCAAGAAUUUCUAGGUUGUUCCUGGACCCUCUUGGUUAUUAUAUAAAAAAGCAUUCUAGAUUGGUCUUUGCCAUCACUUUCCUCUUUUUAUUGUCUUAUAAAUUCCAUGGAAUACAGUUUCUUAAAGGGAAGAAUGUAUGACUUUUUUUUUUCUACCCCAGCACCCUCCUCACAGGACCUAGCCCUAUGCUAAAUAUAUUAAUGGGUUCUCAGAAAAAAAAAAAAUCUAUCCAUUUUUCUGUCCACAGAUAUAAGGCAGAAAGAUUUUUUGUAUUAUCAUGUUUCUCUCAAACUAUUUAGAAGCAUAUCACAUGAUUUCCUUAAUUGUUUUGCUCAUAAAAAGCUGACUCUCCUCAGGGCCAGGGUUCUAGCUUUAUGACACGGAUGGAAUUAUUAAUAUUUUGUUAAAGAAUUCAUUAGUUUGGUUCCCCCAAAUCAGUCACAUACAUUGUCAUCAUGAAAACAUGACAAAGGGCUGCCAUUUCCCCCUUCCAACCCCUGUUCUGGUUUGGGCAGUUAUAAGUAGAAACAGAGGACUGUGAGGAGGAAAAACCCCGACUGUCAUUUGAAUUGAUUGGUCUUUCAACUAAGCUUUCCUGGUCAUAGUUAUUGGAGUAAAAAUUCUGGGUCACACCCUAUUUUUGACGUAAGAAUUGAGAAUGUAGAAUUGGGGUGGGAGGAGUAAUUUUAGAUAGGUUGGGAAUUAGAGAACAUUCUUUCUAAUGGAGAAGAAGGUCAGCCUAACUUAGAGUAAUAAAUAUACUUUCUUCUUCACAAUGGCUGUCCUUCCUAAAACCCCUCAAAGGAACUCAUUUUGAAGGGUUAAAAACAUUUAUUUUCUGUGAUGGCCAUAGAGGCAGAGCUACAUUUCUUUUCCCCACCAUGACCCCUCCUACCCCCAAUGGAUUGAUCUUGCCAAGGAGAAGCUGAGAUCAUCUGGAGGAAAAAAGCCAGGCCCAGGAAACUGGUGGAAAAAAAAAAGCAAAACAAAGAAAAAGAAAGUCCCCUUUGCAUAGUGAGUCUGGGAGCAUAACCCCUCCUCAACCCUAAAACAAGAAACUUGAGUAGACAGAAAGCCCAAUGGGGGUGUGUGUGAGUCAUAAUCAAAGGGUGCGGUCAAUAGGGGUGUUUAGAUUGGACAAAGUAUCUGGACUCAUGGGGUUGGGAAGGAUCAGAUGCCCAAUGAUCAGACCUGUUCCUUUCUUCAACUAACUCUACCAUGGUGUAGAAAAGCUAGUGAUAAGUUAGGCAGGGCUGGGGGAGGCCACAUGUGAUCCUAAGAAGGCCUGGAGAUGAGGAAACUGGGACAUGCAUGAAAUAGGUACUUAAGUUGCCCAAAGUUUACUUAGCAUCAGGGAUGACGUGAAAUCUCCCUUUUUUUUCCCCAUCUCCUAUCCCCAUGAAGCUCACAUGGCCCUUCUGUAGCUCUGAGUUACCUAUUGGCAUUGGAACAUGGAAAAAGAUGGCUGGUUUUCUGAAGAACCUGAGACCAGAAAACAAACUUGCUUUUCUCUCCCAUCUCUCUAGAUUGGGUUUGAGUUUGGCUUCCUCUUGCUUGGAGACAGAGGGGUGACCCUGUCAGUUCUUUCUUACAAAUGGUAUUUAUGAACCUGAAAAUACUGUUUCCUCUUUCAUCUAAUAACUCCUUUGAAUCUUCCGUGGACUACUUUAGGUAAAGAUAGGGUCAGGGGAUAGGGUGUUUGUAUAUUGUCUUGUAAGCUCCCUUGAUCUUGGGCUCCCUCUCAUUUCUCCAUUUCAAGCUUAACUCUAUUAAUUUUCCUGGGGAACCCAGCCCUUGUCUUCACUGGGCUGGUUCUUCCCAGCAGGAUGGGGAUUGGGGCUCAUUAAGAUCGAGCAUCGUGAAGCUGCUGACAGUCCUUACAUAUGAUGACUCAGUUAUAAAUCCCUCUCUGAAACUUAAGUCUCUCCAGAUGUUGACCUCAGUAGUGAAAAAGGGUCCCUCUUCCAUUGUGUUCUGCCUGUAAGCCCUGCCUACUGUGUUGCUGCAUCUCUCUGCUACUGGCUAGGAGGGAGAGAGAUAUAGAGAGGAGACUUGAUGAUGGGGUAGCAUUGGAGUUGGAGAGUUGGAUAGGAAGGGUUGAUAAUGGGAGGGAAGGGGGAUUUCUGAGGUUAAACAAGUUCCCAAUUCUAGAGCAACAGAGACCAGGCUUGGAAAGAUAAGGGGAAAACGUUGUACUCAGUCCAACCCAGCUGGGAAGAUUAAAGAGCAUUCUUACAAGUGCCCUAAAAGCUCCUGAGGUUGCUCUUCUUGAAUAGCUUCUCUUUCUCCUUUAGUCUGUUUGCUCACUGCUCCUGAAUCCAUCCCUAGUAUUUUCUCUCUAUGGUCCUUCCUUCUCAAGAGCACCUGGAAGAGUCUGAUGAUAGAGACUGCAGAGCAAAGAACUUGAGGAUAUUUCAUAGAUUGGAAGAUAUCUUUUAGGAUAAUGAAAUUCAACUUAACACUUGUACCUACUAUGAGCAUGUGAGAGGGAAUUACAUGCAGUCCCUUCAUUCCCCAUUCCUGUAGGUCUUUAAGGUCAGCUUGGAGAGGUAUUGGGUAAUCUCGUGUUAAGAGGUAGGGAGGUGUGGGUUAUCUUGGAGAUCCUACCAUCUCUUUUAGACAUACGAUUCUGAGAUUCCAAGGGACAUGACUUUGAAUUCAAACAGUUCAGGGGUCUGUAUAUUUUCAUGAAAAUAAGGCAAAGUUGGUUUGCUUCCCUCCUCUUCCCCAAGUUUUAUUAUACUAUGUGUAUAUAUAUACAUAUAUAUAUAUGUAUAUAUAUAUAUAUAUUUUCAAUUCUCUGUACUUUCCUUUAUGUGGAGAUGUAUUAGCAUCAAAUUUCUGGCAUGAGAGGUGUGGAAAACAAAGGGAGUUUGAAAUCUUUCCUUUUUUUCAGAGCUCUGUAUUUUAAAGAAAACCAAACUCCCUCCUCCCCCAAUGUUUAUAUCUAUUAAUACAGUCCUACUCUGUUAAUAGGCACAAGGCCUCACUACCCUUAUUUGUCAAAUUUACCUACAGUCUUGCAGUUAUAAACAAGAUAUAUAGCAACUGCCUACUUAGAGUCAAGAUGGACUUGAGUUCAAAUUCCUCUUCUAAUACAGCUCUAAUGGGAAGGAAAAGGGGAGGAUUCAAUGACUUUUUAUGUACUUUGUCACUUUCUAACCUUUCCUUUCCCACUAGAGCUCUGUGACCUCAUUGGACAAAUUCAUUUAACCAAUAUAUGUGCCUCAGGUUUCUUAUCAUAAAUUGAGGAGGCUAGAUUCCUCUCUUUAAUAGAAAGAACAAGUCUUUCGAAGGUAGGACUUGAGAGGGACAAAGUGUGGGCAAAAAAUCAAUACUUCCAAUGUAGUUGCUGGUCUGUAUUUGGUGGAGGGAGAAUUUUGCUCAGUGAGACAGCUCCCUUACACCAAGGAAAUCUCAUGUCUAGAUACCCCAAACUAUAUACAUAAUGUACUUGAAAUAAAUUUCACCUCCCAUCUUCCUCUAUGCAUCUGUAUGAAGCCCUGGUUAUCAUAGUUGAAGAGUUGUUUAUUAAAGUUUCUAAGCUAUCUUUCAGCUCUAAAUUAAUGCACAAAAUUUCUUCCAUCUAAAUGCCUAAGAAGAGAAUCAUGGUAUAAAGUAUAGGUAUUUUUACUAUUCAAAAUGUCACUGUUACUAAAACUCACUAUGAGUUGUUAACCAAUAAUAUUUGCCCUCGUCUCUCCUGCUGAAUGUGAAUGCUUAUAUUAUUGAAAAAUUGGGAGGGAGGCAACUUGCAUUGGGUAGAAUGAUAAAGCAACCUUCAAAAAUUUCCAUGAAAGGUGCUGUUUUGUUGGGAAAUGUUUCAAUUGAUCAGUUUAAUGUUAACCCACAACUUUAGAAGCUAGAGCACCUGGGUCACAUGAGGAGAUCCCCCUCUACUUCUGGAUUUCUGUAGACUGACUUAAAAACUCAUAAACUAAAAGAAUGUUGGAACCAAAAGGAAACUAACUUUAUGAGCAUAGCAGGUAGUUAAACCUUUUUUUUCAUGCUAUAGAUCCAGUCUGAUUACUUAUUUAGAUUCCUCCAAAUAAUGUUUUAUAAAACACAUAAAAUACAUGGUUAUAGAGGAAACCAGUUAUUUUGAAAUAAUGUGAUCCCCCAUCCCCAAGUUCAUGUGUCAAACUGAUGUUUAUCUUUUGCACCUCUUGAGUAUCCACUUGGGCUCCAGGUUAAGAACCCCUGGCAUAGAGAGGUUUUGCAGAAUUCCUCAUCUUACACUUGAAGACAGAACUCAUGAAGACAGAACUCAUCAUUCUCAUCAUCCCUAGUGUUCUCAUAUAGGUAAUAGAUUUGAUUUUUUUUUCUGUGUUCUCUGCUACUCAGGAUAUAAAGUAAAAGACAACCCCAGAGCCUUUGUUUGUUUGCUGCAGUGAUCAGAUUUUAUUGACCAGAGGUUCCUGAUACUGGGCGGGCUUUGGGGGGCUCAUGGGACUUAAAAGUUGCAAAGUUGUUCUGGACGGUCCUGACCCUUUAACGUCGAGGUAGAAAGCAGGGGGCAGUGGCACCAUAGGGAAAUAUGGGCCUCCUCAGCAAACCAUACUCUUGCAGUGGUAAUAACAGCAAUUCACUGUGAGGAAACAGAGGCAAAGUUAAGGUUAAGGGGGAGUGUUCCUGUGUAUCUGGAGGCCCUUUGAGAAGGUUUAGCUUUAUUUCUUUAUAAGUCCCUUUGCUAUUUUGUUAUAGUAUUUUAGGUCAUAAUAUAACUUUGGAUGUCAUUUCACAAAGAGGAAAGGUGAGAAGAGUUGAUGGAGAAAUAUAAAAGAAGUAGAAGUAGAAUGAAUUGUUUCUAAAGGUAGUAUAAACUGGUACACCCUACCCAUCAAGAUUCAAGAUUAGAAGAGGCAUGAGAAUUCUGCCUUGGCAAAAGGUAAAAAGCUUAAUUUCACAUACAGAAAAAUGAGAUCAGUUGAAGAGAUGACUGGAAGCUUGAUAUACAGAAGUAUAGAAGACAAAAAAGGGGAAAUAGUGGAAAUGUACUAUCUCUGUCUCUAGGGGUAGUGAUUGGGAUUGCCCAUCAUGAUUCAAGAUAUAAUAAGAGGGAGGGAAGGGGGGAACUUUUUAUCAAAGGCAAAAGCUUUACAUUAUUAACAUGGACCCUCUUUUCUUUAUUUCCUUUAAUCAUAGUUCUCUGUGUUCCUCCUCAAAUCCAUUUCACUAUCCUCGUAUUUCUAGAGUCAAGCUAGAUGUUUAAAUGAAAAGAACAUGGAGUCUGGAGUCAGAAAGACCCGAGUUCAAAUGUGACCUUAGACACUUACUAUUUGUAUAACAACCUGUUUGCCUUAAUCCACUAGACAUGGAAAUGAAAUGGCAAACCAAUCCAGCAUCUUUGCCAAGAAAACCCCAUGGACAGUACUGACAUGCUGUGGCCAAUGGGAUCACACAAAGUCAGGCAUUACUGAACCACAACCACCUUUCUUUCUACCAUCCUGCUUCCAUCUUUAUGUAUUUCUCUCCAUUUUGAUCCACAAGACUCAAACCUGUGAGAUUUACCUCUCUUUUGGUUUUCUCUCAUCCUCUGUUGACAUGACUUUCUCCUCAUCUUCUCAGAAAAUUGGUGUUUGUGCAGGUACCAUAUGCAUUGAGCCAUGAUAGAUAUUAUCCAAGAACCCAGCACCUGAAUCCUGAGGCAGCCUAC